AUAAAUUCAGUGAUCGGGAGAGUAAUGACAGAACACCUCAUGUUUCAGCGAGCCGGGAUGGUGCAAGCCGGUAUGAAGGAUCUGACAGGAAGCGCACCCGUGAGAAGGUACAUUGAAACAACAGUAGGUGUACUCGUCAUCAGCGGGCGUUAUCCGCUUAGAGAGGAAUCGAACAGGUUACCGGUUUCAGAUAGCAUUGCAGGUAAGUUGUUCGUAUUCACAUAGAGUGGUACCGCGGGAAUAUGUUAAUCCAUAGCUCUCGUCUCUGUA
rnacentral:ncRNA from 1 species